rnacentral:rRNA from 1 species
UGCGGGUCGAACGAGAACGGAUAUUAGCUUGCUAAUAUUGUCAGCUAAGUGGCGCACGGGUGAGUAAUAUAUAGUUAAUCUGCCCCAAAGAAGAGAAUAAUUGUUGGAAACGACUUGUAACGCUCUAUAUGCCUUUAUUACAUAAGUAAGCAAGGGAAACAUUUAUGGCUUUGGGAUGAGACUGUACGGUAUCAGCUAGUUGGUGAGGUAAUGGCUCACCAAGGCUAUGACAUCUAACUGGUUUGAGAGGAUGAUCAGUCACACUGGAACUGAGACACGGUCCAGACUCCUACGGGAGGCAGCAGUGGGGAAUAUUGCACAAUGGAGGAAACUCUGAUGCAGCAACGCCGCGUGGAGGAUGACACAUUUCGGUGCGUAAACUCCUUUUAUAUGAGAAGAUAAUGACGGUAUCAUAUGAAUAAGCACCGGCUAACUCCGUGCCAGCAGCCGCGGUAAUACGGGGGGUGCAAGCGUUACUCGGAAUCACUGGGCGCAAAGAGCAUGUAGGCUGGUUUGUAAGUUGGAAGUGAAGUCCUAUGGCUUAACCAUAGAACUGCUUCCAAAACUGCAGACCUAGAAUAUGGGAGAGGUAGAUGGAAUUUCUGGUGUAGGGGUAAAAUCCGUAGAGAUCAGAAGGAAUACCGAUUGCGAAGGCGAUCUACUGGAGCAUUAUUGACGCUGAGAUGCGAAAGCGUG